CCUGAGCCGAAACCAAGAGUUGGACACUUAACCGACUAGCCACCCAGGUGCCCCUAAAAGACUUUCUUGUAAUGAGAAAAGAAAUAGGAAGGUUGAUUACAGACCCCUUAGGGGUGUUUCUUUAUUCAAUAAUUAGUGACCAUGACGCAGGCACUGUUCUAGGUACUGCGGCAAGAGCAGUGACCAAAACACAAAGGAUGUGUUCUCACAAGGCUUACAUCCCAGCAGUGGGAGACCAGUAACACAUAAUUCGGUACGUAUAUGUCAGGCACUAUGAAGACGAAAAAGUAGGGUGGGGGGGGGCAGUGACAGGUGCUGUGCUAAGUCAGUCUGACAACAGACUACCUCAGUGCACUGGUGAGAGCUGGGAAUGAGCAGCUUCCUACACUUUGAGAUCAUUACGGAGUCAGUAUGCAUUUGUGACUCACUGUUUUCAUGGAAAACUGAGUUCUAAAUUCCAGACACCAGACAUACAGACAUAUUUGCAGAACACAAUCUGGUUUAAGCUGCCAUGCUACUCAAGCAGUGGGAAAAAACCCUUCACUACUGAUCACAUUAAGUUUUUCAGGAAACUACCCACCUGAUGAGACAUGUACAUGGAAUAGGAUGGCUUACCCCAAGUUUUCUUCCUUCUGAAGGGGCUCUAGACAGAUCUCCGUUUUCCUUCCCAGUUUAUACUCCCUGAUAAAUGAAACAAAAUACUAUUGAGUGACAUUUAAGUUUUUAGAUUUUUGGGGGGAAAAUUCUAAGUUUUCUCUUGAGCAAAAGAAUAUACUAAAUAAGAACACUCGAUAUUUGAGAGGCAACUAUGAACAAAUGGAUGCCAACAAACUGGACAGGCUGGAAAACAAUGGCUCUCUGCUAGUGACCUCUUGCUCAUCACGAUGUGCGCGCUCAAUUCUGUCCGUGGAGAACAACUUAGAGUAAAACAGCGUUCGCGCUCCGGCUUCUCAGAAGUCAGAGCACACACUGGCUGCCACUGUUCUGUUCUCACCUUGGGUGGAAGUAGCUGUCCAGACCCCACUUGGAGAAGGGGUACCGUCCACCUGGUCCUGAUGACUCUUCCAAUGACCGGAGGGACCCCCAGGCUGGUACCACCAGAUGGGCACCUUCAGGAAACCCUGAAGAAUGGAGCAUUUCUAACUUCUGUGACGUACAUGCAUGGAGUGAAUUUCUACUUCCACAGAGAGAAAUAUCUUGAUAACAGAAAACGUUC